rnacentral:rRNA from 1 species
UACGUAGGGGGCAAGCGUUGUCCGGAAUCAUUGGGCGUAAAGAGCGUGUAGGCGGCUCGGUAAGUCCGCUGUGAAAGUCCAGGGCUCAACCCUGGAAUGCCGGUGGAAACUGUCGAGCUAGAGUCCGGAAGAGGCGAGUGGAAUUCCUGGUGUAGCGGUGAAAUGCGUAGAUAUCGGAAGGAACACCUGUGGCGAAAGCGGCUCACUGGACCAUUACUGACGCUGAGGCACGAAAGCUAGGGGAGCAAACAGG